AUGGCUGGACGUUCAGUUGGGAAAUCACUUCAAGGAACUCUGUCGUUCGGUGGAUCGGGUCGAAAGACUCUAAGUCA
rfam:Legionella fallonii LLAP-10 genome assembly, plasmid: III